rnacentral:rRNA from 1 species
UACAGAGGUCUCAAGCGUUGUUCGGAUUCAUUGGGCGUAAAGGGUGCGUAGGUGGCGCCGUAAGUCAGGUGUGAAAUCUCGGGGGCUCAACCCCGAAACUGCACUUGAUACUGCGGUGCUCGAGUACUGGAGAGGAGAUUGGAAUUUACGGUGUAGCAGUGAAAUGCGUAGAUAUCGUAAGGAAGACCAGUGGCGAAGGCGAAUCUCUGGACAGUUACUGACACUGAGGCACGAAGGCCAGGGGAGCAAACGGG